GACGAACGCUGGCGGCGUGCUUAACACAUGCAAGUCGAACGGAAAGGCCCUGCUUGCUGGGUACUCGAGUGGCGAACGGGUGAGUAACACGUGGGUGAUCUGCCCUGCACUUCGGGAUAAGCCUGGUAAACUGGGCCUAAUACCGGACAGGAGCCAUUUUUAGAGUGCUGGUUGGAAAGUUUUUUCGGUGUAGGAUGAGCUCGCGGCCUAUCAGCUUGUUGGUGGGGUAAUGGCUUACCAAGGCGGCGACGGGUAGCCGGCCUGAGAGGGUGGACGGCCACAUUGGGACUGAGGUACGGCCGCGGCUGCUACGGGAGGGAGCAGUGGGGAAUAUUGCACGAUGGGCGCAAGCCUGAUGCAGCGACGCCGCGUGGGGGAUGACGGCCUUCGGGUUGUAAACUACAUUCGCUAGGAACGAAGCUUUUGUGACGGUACCUAGAUAAGAAGCACCGGCUAACUACGUG
rnacentral:rRNA from 1 species